UCGUAACUGCGCGUGUUGCAGGCAAGGACAUAACUUUGACUCGUGGCAGCUGCAGCAGUAUUUAGGCAACAGCAGAAAUUCGCGGUCUCCCAGUACAGGGAUCCAUUUUUAACCUCAAUGAUGUGGGUCUCCUAAUGUUAGCAUUUGUAUUUUUAGUGUCUGUUCAUUGAGAAACAGUCACAGAAAUCUACCAUGAAUACCAGUAGUAACUGUUUCAAAUCCAUUUGAUUUUAUUUACCCCAGCAGUUUCUCCACAGAUCUGAAAAACAGUAGAAAAACAACACUGUUCUCUUUGAAGGAUAGAAUUACUAGGAACUUGCACUGUUUAUCCCAAUAUAUAUUUUUCUAAUGUUUGAAAAUUCUGCAUCCGUUUCACAAGCAAAAAUGAAGGCACAUGACCCUUGCUCCGUAACAGUAAGACUGAAAGGUGGAGAAAAGAAGGCAUACCAGCUAGGACCUUAGGAUCCAAAGAGGAAGACAAAGCAUCCUAAAUUCAGGUACCAAUAUGACUCUUUUCAUGUACGUCAAGGGAAACCGUCACACCCAGCUCCAGAGAAAGGCUGUUUUGAAUUAGGAAUAAUACCAUGUCCCUUGAUACAUUACUGGUGCUGAAACUCAGACCUAAGCUGAUCUGCACAUGACAUUCCUUUUGCCCCAGGGAUUGUUCAGGAAGAACCUAUUAAACCUGUUUGAGCUGAUAAGAAUUGAGAAGAGACAUGAAAAAACUCCUGAGAAAGAGUUUGCCUUGUUCUUACAAGAGAAUCACAGGAAGAAAUUCUCUUUCUCUGGGCAUUGAGGAUGGCAGAUGUGAAGGCAGCAUUUUGCCAUGAGAAAAGCCAGUGCAAGGAUGGAUCCAACAAACAGAGGAAGAACACUCCUGACAGGCCACACUAGGCUGAACCCAAAGCCUGCCCCUCUCGAGGCUUCCAUUGUGUGGACCAAUGAAUUCCCAGUUACAUGAGCCAGUAAAAACUAAGUGAAGUUUGAUCAUCUAUUACUUUUGGACAAACAUAUCUUACCAAAAAGAUCACAGGAAACAUCCUGACCAGGACCACCAGUGAAUGACGGCAGGAUGGAAUUCACACAUUUCCUUCAGAGGCGGACCCGAAACCAGGAAAUGUUUGACUUUAAUCCCUCCCCUUUUAGUAUAAAAGAAGCAUGAAUUCUGACUCAGUCAAGAUGGUUCUUUGAGACACUAGUCCACCAUCUUCUCAGUCUGCGGGCUUUCUGAAUGAAGUUGCUAUUCCUUGCCCCAGCAACU